AGGACCUUUACCUGCAGUUCCAGGAUGAGCUGUUGAAGGUUCCGGAUCACUUCCACGUUCUCCUUUAGCUCCUGGUCCUCUAGAGUCUCCACCAUCUUCUACCCUGCGAGAUCCACCAAAUGCAGUUUGGAGACCAUGACAUCACUCCUUCACAAACAGAAACAUGGGAGAAAUACAGGACGCUACCAGAGCUGGCCAGAUCCAGCUCAGUUCCUGCUUGGUGUCGGACUCCACUGCUAUGUGACACUGAGUGAUGACGACAAACUACAGCUGGUGCUAGCCAGACAUCACUUCAGUCUUUUACAAUGGACUCCAGAGGAUGAACUGGUGCCAACUCCAACUGUAAGACAUUGUAUACUUCAUACGCCACUGCCUGAACCUUGGACUUAUGAUGGACCCCACCGAACCUCACCGAAAUGACCUGCCGGUUUAACUGCGAUGCACAUCAUUGAUCUCUGCCUGCAUCACCUUUGUCUAUUGAUGGUCUACACUUUUGAAAUGGAAUAUAUAGACUAUCAUUUAAUUGCCAACAAAAGCCUUCAUCAACCAACUAACAAAGGACAAUGCAUCUAUGUGAACUUCUGCAGUUAAUCCAGGAUGAACUUCAAAGACAUUAGUCAUUAAUCUUAAUGUUCAUAAAAAAUAUUUUUUUAAACACUGGACUUUAACACUUACUUAGUUUACAAAUUUUAAACCAUGACUUGCACUGCACAUAAUUAAGUAAUAUUGGCAUUAUAUUCAUGAUGUUUUGCCAGAGGGGAACUGGCCCCCACAGUGAGCCUGGUUUCUCCCAAGGUUAUUUUUCUCCAUUAACCAACAUCUUAUGGAAUUUUGUGUUCCUUGUCACAGUCGCCUUCAGCUUACUCACAGGGGUUCUAAAUACAAUUAUUUAAUUUUUAUAAACAAUUUACAAUCAUAUUAAUAUCAAACUACACUAUGAUCAUUCUAAGACUUUUUAGAUAUUACAGUUUCAUUUUUUUGUUAAUGCAUUACAUUUACUGAAAAGCUGCAUUGAAACAAUGUGUGUUGUGAAAAGCGCUAUACAA